AGUGAACGCUGGCGGUAGGCCUAACACAUGCAAGUCGAACGGCAGCACAGUAAGAGCUUGCUCUUACGGGUGGCGAGUGGCGGACGGGUGAGGAAUACAUCGGAAUCUACUUUUUCGUGGGGGAUAACGUAGGGAAACUUACGCUAAUACCGCAUACGACCUACGGGUGAAAGCAGGGGAUCUUCGGACCUUGCGCGAUUGAAUGAGCCGAUGUCGGAUUAGCUAGUUGGCGGGGUAAAGGCCCACCAAGGCGACGAUCCGUAGCUGGUCUGAGAGGAUGAUCAGCCACACUGGGACUGAGACACGGUCCAGACUCCUGCGGGAGGCAGCAGUGGGGAAUAUUGGACAAUGGGCGCAAGCCUGAUCCAUCCAUACCGCGUGGGCGAAGAAGGCCUUCGGGUUGUAAAGCCCUUUUGUUGGGAAAGAAAAGCAGCAGGUUAAUACCCCGCUGUUCUGACGGUACCCAAAGAAUAAGCACCGGCUAACUUCGUG
rnacentral:rRNA from 1 species